rnacentral:rRNA from 1 species
UACGGAGGGUGCAAACGUUGCUCGGAAUUAUUGGGCGUAAAGCGCACGUAGGCGGUUCGUUAUGUCGGAUGUGAAAGCCCCGGGCUUAACCCGGGAAGGGCAUCCGAAACUGGCGGGCUUGAAUACGGAAGAGGGUCUCGGAAUUCCCGGUGUAGAGGUGAAAUUCGUAGAUAUCGGGAGGAACACCAGUGGCGAAGGCGGAGACCUGGGCCGAUACUGACGCUGAGGUGCGAAAGCGUGGGGAGCAAACAGG